UACGUAGGGUGCGAGCGUUGUCCGGAAUUACUGGGCGUAAAGAGCUCGUAGGUGGUUUGUCGCGUUGUCCGUGAAAACUCACAACUCAAUUGUGGGCGUGCGGGCGAUACGGGCAGACUGGAGUACUGCAGGGGAGACUGGAAUUCCUGGUGUAGCGGUGGAAUGCGCAGAUAUCUGGAGGAACACCGGUGGCGAAGGCGGCAUCCUGGACCGGUAUUGACGCUGAUGCGCGAAAGCGUGGGGAGCGAACAGG
rnacentral:rRNA from 1 species